UACGUAGGGGGCUAGCGUUGUUCGGAAUUACUGGGCGUAAAGGGCGCGUAGGCGGUGUGUCAAGUCAGGCGUGAAAGCCCCGGGCUCAACCUGGGAACGGCCGUUGAAACUGGCGAACUGGAGUGUGGCAGAGGGGGGUGGAAUUCCGCGUGUAGCAGUGAAAUGCGUAGAGAUGCGGAGGAACACCGAUGGCGAAGGCAGCCCCCUGGGCUGACACUGACGCUCAGGCACGAAAGCGUGGGGAGCAAACAGG
rnacentral:rRNA from 1 species